rnacentral:lncRNA from 1 species
GGCUGAUAAGGGCCAAGAUUGAAAGCACAGGGGAGUCUCUCAUGUGCCACUCUCUGAUACACCUUCUCAGAAAUAACCAUUGAGCGGCCACCAAGGUCAGGCUAUCCAUGUGCCAGGUUCACGGGGCUCAGAUCAAGCAUAAAGGACACUCUGGGAAGUAUAAGCAAAUUGUAAACAACAUGACCAACUCUGUCUAGGGAAAGGUGGGGGCAGGGCUCCCAGAAGGGCCAUUUGAGCUGGAUCUUGAUGUAUGCAUAGAAGCUCACUGGUUUAGAAGAGACAAAACAGGAGAGGUAUGAGGGUGUUUAGGAGCUCAAGUGUGGUUCGGAGUAAUGAAUCCUCAGUAUCUGUGCUGGAUGGUGGGAAUCAGGGAAUAGAUUUUAAAGCAUGGGUGUGAUAGUGAGGGUCCUGUCCACCUGAAACUACAGGGCUGGCUGCAGACAAGCUCAAUAAAGCUGGGGUUUCUCCAUGGUGGGGUGGAGACAGAACCAUGAGUGUGAACACUACUAGCUCUGCUGCCCAGCGGGUACAGGUGGGCAUCUCUCAGCAUCUCCUCAGAAGACAGCGAUACUCAGCCAGGUCUGGGAUCCAUGGGGCCUGGUAUUUGUUAGAUAAGCACUCUUUCACUUAUGAGGCCCAGGCCAUCCUUAAAGACAUGAGACUCUUGCCUCAGCCUCCAGUGUGCUGGGAUGACCGGUAUGUGCAAACUCAACAGGUGGGCAGCUUGCCCCACACUCUUCAGGGAUCUUACUGUGGGAAGAGCUGGCCCCGUGAGACCCUGACUUAGAGUGUUUCUCCCUGGAAGGUAAAGCCCCUGGAUGUUCCCCAAGCUUGUUUUCCCUGAUCUCUAAAAAUACAACUAGAAAGAAGCUCUUUGUUCUCUAUAGCCAGCAAAAAGCCUUUUUGUUUCUAUACUGUACAACCAGAGAUGCCUGCCUUCCUGUGCCGAGGACACGGAGAUAAAAAUUCAGAAAGAACUCACUCCCCACUCCUGCCUUGUAAAUUUCACCCAGGACACCCCAAGAGAAGAACUCUUCCCAACUCCUCCCAACUCUCCUCCCAACUCCUCAGCUAGCUGUUAAAAGCCCCCUACUGUCACAGCUCUGCUAGGGUCGAACUCCCCUUCCCUGCACAGCAGAGGGACUUUGUCCUCAGCUAGCUGAUAAUAAAACCUCUUGCAGUUU